CCUACGGGUGGCAGCAGUGAGGAAUAUUGGUCAAUGGGCGUAAGCCUGAACCAGCCAAGUCGCGUGCAGGAUGACGGUUCUAUGAGUUGUAAACCUCUUUUAUAAGGUAAUAAAGUGCGAUACGUGUACCGAGUUGUAUGUACCUUAUGAAUAAGGAUCGGCUAACUCCGUGCCAGCAGCCGCGGUAAUACGGAGGAUCCGAGCGUUAUCCGGAUUUAUUGGGUUUAACGUGUGCGUAGGCGGCCUUUUAAGUCAGCGGUGAAAUUCUGUAGCUCAACUAUAGAAUUGCCUUUAAUACUGGUGGGCUUGAGUGUGUAUGAGGCAGGCGGAAUGCGUGGUGUAGCGGUGAAAUGCUUAGAUAUCACGCAGAACCCCGAGUGCGAAGGCAGCUUACCAAGCCAUAACUGACGCUGAUGCACGAAAGCGUGGGGAUCAAACAGGAUUAGAUACCCUAGUAGUC
rnacentral:rRNA from 1 species